AAUGCAUUGAAAGUGACU
rnacentral:snRNA from 1 species